GUUAUUUUCAGACGGAGGAGGGUCUAUUUACACGCUGAAUGCAGACGUUCUGGAGCUCGUGGCAGAGUGUGAUCACGCCUUCGAUGAUGCGUCGAACAACAAAGAGCAAAAGUGCAGGUUGGAGUCUGUGCAGGACCUGAAGCAUGCAGGAUGUGGCCAUGAGUGGAAAACACACCAGCGUCUCCAGGCAUCAGGGACUCCCUCCUCUGGUGAGACAGCGCCAAACAUCCAGCCUUCUCGUUCUGCCUGUGUGUCCUGUGUAACUCACACCUCAUCAGAAACUGAAGUGGAACACAACCAGAAUAGCAGCGAUUGCUUUUGCAGUGCAAACAAACUGUGGAUGAUUUGGUUUCAGUCCAAACUCGGAUGGAACCAAACAAGGAAUGUCCUACAACCAGAAGUAUUACAGCCUCAUUUACAAGGUUCCUUCUUAUGUUACACUCUUGUUUCCCAAUUUCAUUCACAAAACCUCAUUUUGGUGUCAAAAUUAUAGAAUCGUGAACAUUCUAGCAUUUAAAUACAAGUGUUGUUAUACAGUAACAAACAGAAAACUAAUGUAUUUUGUAGCGCUGUGCUGUUGAACAAAGUUCUACUCACGCUUUCAGCUAGAUGUUGGAGUGCUCUUUUUAAAGGUAGAAUAAAGCCCUCGAAAGAUGUUCUAAAAAAUGUUUGGUGAUAUUGUCAGGCCACCAUUACUUAAUAUUCUUACCCCUUUGAUGCGCAACAUGGGUCAAAAGUGACCCAGAACCAAUGGAAAAUGUCUAUCUCCUGAUCCACACGGCGCAUCAAAGGGUUAAAGUGUUUUCUGAGUGUUGCAUUGACAAUACUCUGCCUGUUAAUUAUCAUUUUUUAAAUCACGUAACAUUGUGUGUAUGCUUAAUGGCUGUAUGUUUGCCCUUAUUUCCAAAACAUCCUACAGGAAUGCUUUAUUAAAAAUGUUCUGUCAUCGGAA